UAUCUUUCCUGGGGGUGCCCACCAGUGUGGGCUGAGAGGCAGGGGCGACAAACCCGGCCAACCCUUCGAACCUGAGAUGGAUUAUACCAGCGUAGGGAAGGACCGCAAAAGUGGC
rnacentral:ncRNA from 2 species